rnacentral:lncRNA from 1 species
CGGGAUGCUAAUAAUUAUUUUUCUGCCUCCUUAUCUUGUUCACUUCUUGUUUGCAGUUAGUCUUUAGGAGAUGGCUUCCAUUCGGUGACUGCAGCACUUCAGCAUCUGGCCUUCUUUAUUUACUGAAGUAUGUUGGCCAAGGCUGCCUUGUCUGUGGAUUACCUGGUGGAAAAGCUAACGAUGGGAUCAAGCUGGCUGUGCUGGCAUUUUGAUUUGAUGGAAAACAUUUCUUGGCUCUAAUUUUGAAUGCUUUGUGGCCUCAAGGAGCAACUAAUACAUCAGUUGAUUCGAAUUGAAAUGGUCUGUAACAAGGCUGUCACGGGUCCUGGGGAC